CAAUAGCGUAUAUUAAAGUUGUUGCAGUUAAAAAGCUCGUAGUUGAAUUUCUGGCGGGCGCGCCGGUCUUCCAAGUGUUGUACUGGGCGCAGUCCGCCAUCCUUGUGGAGAGGGCUCGCAUUGAGUUGCGUGUCGGAUCUGCAUCAUUUACUGUGAAAAAAUUAGAGUGUUUAAAGCAGGCUGUCGCUUGGGUACAUUAGCAUGGAAUAAUAAGAUAGGACUUCGGUCUAUUUUGUUGGUUGCGAACCGAGGUAAUGAUUAAUAGGGAUAGUUGGGGGUAUUCAUAUUUAAUUGUCAGAGGUGAAAUUCUUGGAUUUAUGAAAGAUGAACAACUGCGAAAGCAUUUACCAAGGAUGUUUUCAUUA
rnacentral:rRNA from 1 species